rnacentral:rRNA from 1 species
CGUACAGGUCUCCGUAGGUGAACCUGCGGAGGGAUCAUUACACAAAUAUGAAGGCGGGCUGGAACCUCUCGGGGUUACAGCCUUGCUGAAUUAUUCACCCUUGUCUUUUGCGUACUUCUUGUUUCCUUGGGGGGUUCGCCCACCACUAGGACAAACAUAAACCUUUUGUAAUUGCAAUCAGCGUCAGUAACAAAUUAAUAAUUACAACUUUCAACAACGGAUCUCUUGGUUCUGGCAUCGAUGAAGAACGCAGCGAAAUGCGAUAAGUAGUGUGAAUUGCAGAAUUCAGUGAAUCACCGAAUCUUUGAACGCACAUUGCGCCCUUUGGUAUUCCAAAGGGCAUGCCUGUUCGAGCGUCAUUUGUACCCUCAGGCUUUGCUUGGUGUUGGGCGUCUUGUCUCUAGCUUUGCUGGAGACUCGCCUUAAAGUAAUUGGCAGCCGGCCUACUGGUUUCGGAGCGCAGCACAAGUCGCACUCUCUAUCAGCAAAGGUCUAGCAUCCAUUAAGCCUUUUUUUCAACUUUUGACCUCGGAUCAGGUAGGGAUACCCGCUGAACUUAAGCA